GAAGUAUUCGAAGCAUUAUUUAUUUUUCUUUGUUAGCAGGAAAAGAGAAGAUAGGCAUUCGCACAGCUCGGGUUUCAAAGAAGAUCAAAAGCAACGAGAACUUCUAACGGACGGUGACGCGAGACAACGCAUCGAGAUCGAAUUCAACCUGUGUCAGUGACCAGCAUAUGUCAGAUUAACACGCUUUCUAUUCUUCAAUAGAACUCGGUGCCCCCAUUGUGGGGAAGCAGAGACACCGGGUCACUAUUGGUUGUACUGCCCAAAUUACGCGGUGGCCGGCCAGGAACUGGGUCGUAGUCUGGCAUUGGACUUCACAAUAGUAAGGACUUUGUCCCCAAUUUAUUGGCCGAACGCGGAAACUCACCCGACGAAACAUGCAUAUACUCGAGCGAUACAUAUCAAGGACAGGCCAAUUUAUCUAGGUAGACGGCGACGCUCGUCGGAGAGAAAGCGAACCAAGGCUAUAAUCUCCAUAUAAACCCGGUAGGAGAAAGACGAAGAAUAGAACUCGGUUGUCAACCCAACGACUUUUAUAUGAGGACUUGACUUUGUCAAGACUGACAGAUCAUCUUCAUUCGGGUGUUGAAAGACCUUUGAGUAUAAAUUGAUGUUCUGUUUGACAACGAGAGACGCUUUGAUAUACAAUUAGUUAUAUUUACACUUUUAGUGUAAUCUUUUAUUCGUUGCUAUGUUUAUUUUAAAUUGACAAAUUUUUAUGAAGAUUUUUC